rnacentral:rRNA from 1 species
AAACUAAAGAGUUUGAUCCUGGCUCAGAUUGAACGCUGGCGGCAUGCCUUACACAUGCAAGUCGAACGGCAGCACGGAGCUUGCUCUGGUGGCGAGUGGC